UAAAGCCCCUUCGGGGGUGUAUAAAGUGGCGAAAGGGCGAGUAAUGCAUUCCUACGUGCCUCGAGGUCAGGGAUAGCCCAGGGAAACCUGGAGUAAUACCUGAUGUGGUCUCCGGAUCAAAGAUUUAUCGCCUUGAGAGCGGGGAAUGUCCUAUCAGCUUGUUGGUGAGGUAACGGCUCACCAAGGCAAAGACGGGUAGCGGGUGUGAGAGCACGACCCGCCGCAUCGGGACUGAGACACUGCCCGGACUCCUACGGGAGGCUGCAGUAACGAAUCUUCCGCAAUGCGCGAAAGCGUGACGGAGCAAUGCCGCGUGCAGGAUGAAGCCCCUCGGGGUGUAAACUGCUGUCAGGGUUUAGGAACACAAUGACCAGACCCAAAGGAAGAGGCGACUAACUCUGUGCCAGCAGUCGCGGUAAUACAGAGGCCUCGAGCGUUAAUCGGAAUCACUGGGCUUAAAGCGUACGUAGGCGGGCGCGCAGGCAUCUUGUGAAAUCCCACGGCUCAACCGUGGAAUUGCUUGGUGAACCGCGCGUCUUGAGUCGGGUAGGGGCUGCCGGAACGAUAGGUGGAGCGGUGAAAUGCGUUGAUAUCUAUCGGAACGCCAAAGGUGAAGACAGGCAGCUGGGCCCGCACUGACGCUGAGGUACGAAAGCGUGGGGAGCAAACGGGAUUAGAUACCCCGGUAGUCCACGCCGUAAACGAUGUGCACUGGAUCGAGGGGG
rnacentral:rRNA from 1 species